UACAGAGGUCCCAAGCGUUGUUCGGAUUCACUGGGCGUAAAGGGUGCGUAGGUGGCGAGGUAAGUCGGAUGUGAAAGCUCGGAGCUCAACUCCGAAAUGGCAUUGGAAACUACCUUGCUCGAGGGUUGGAGGGGGGGACUGGAAUGCUUGGUGUAGCAGUGAAAUGCGUAGAUAUCAAGCGGAACACCAGUGGCGAAGGCGAGUCCCUGGACAACUCCUGACACUGAGGCACGAAAGCUAGGGGAGCAAACAGG
rnacentral:rRNA from 1 species